GACGAACGCUGGCGGCGUGCUUAACACAUGCCAGUCGAACGGAAAGGCCCUGCUUUUGUGGGGUGCUCGAGUGGCGAACGGGUGAGUAACACGUGAGUAACCUGCCCUUGACUCUGGGAUAACUUCAGGAAACUGGGGCUAAUACCGGAUAGGAGCUCCUGCUGCAUGGUGGGGGUUGGAAAGUUUCGGCGGUUGGGGAUGGACUCGCGGCUUAUCAGCUUGUUGGUGGGGUAGUGGCUUACCAAGGCUUUGACGGGUAGCCGGCCUGAGAGGGUGACCGGCCACAUUGGGACUGAGAUACGGCCCAGACUCCUACGGGAGGCAGCAGUGGGGAAUAUUGCACAAUGGGCGGAAGCCUGAUGCAGCAACGCCGCGUGCGGAAUGACGGCCUUCGGGUUGUAAACCGCUUUCGCCUGUGACGAAGCGUGAGUGACGGUAAUGGGUAAAGAAGCACCGGCUAACUACGUG
rnacentral:rRNA from 1 species